rnacentral:rRNA from 1 species
UUGGAGGGCAAGUCUGGUGCCAGCAGCCGCGGUAAUUCCAGCUCCAAUAGCGUAUAUUAAAGUUGUUGCAGUUAAAAAGCUCGUAGUUGAAUUUCGGGAUCAAUAUGUCAGUCGUGCCUUCGGUACGUACUAGUAUUAUUGGUUUCUCCUUUCUGACGGACCAUGAUGCCAUUAAUUUGGUGUUAUGGGGAAUUAGGACUGUUACUUUGAAAAAAUUAGAGUGUUUAAAGCAGGCUUUUAGCUUGAAUACAUUAGCAUGGAAUAAUGAAAUAGGACGUUCGAACCUAUUUUGUUGGUUUCUAGGAUCAACGUAAUGAUUAAUAGGGAUAGAUGGGGGCAUUAGUAUUCAAUUGUCAGAGGUGAAAUUCUUGGAUUUAUUGAAGACUAACUACUGCGAAAGCAUUUGCCAAGGAUGUUUUCAUUAAUCAAGAACGAAAGUUAGGGGAUCGAAGACGAUCAGAUACCGUCGUAGUCUUAACCAUAAACUAUGCCGACUAGGGAUCGGAUGAUGUUAAUUUUUUAAUGACUCAUUCGGCGCCUUACGGGAAAC